rnacentral:misc_RNA from 1 species
UUGAAUAAAUUUAGAGUUGGUUGUCGCUGGCUCUCUUGAGCAUUUUGUGCACGCCUUCUCUUUAUUUUUUUUCAUCCACACACACCCCUGUGAACUUGUGAGAUGGAAGGGCUUAAAAAACCCUACCAUCUACUGUCUACAUACAAAUUCCAUUUAAUUUAAAUCGAAUGUAAUUGAUGUAACGCAUCAUUUAAAAAC